CCCAGUCUUUCUGCACACUUAUUAGGAAACUACAAAACGCUCUCAGUUCCUCUUCUCAUUCUGAAUCAGCACCAGAAACGUGUGUGUGUGUGUGUUGCUAAGGCUGCACUCACAGAGACGGGCUGCUUUCACUACGCAAGCAGUCUGCCCCGUUCUCUCAUGGAAGGCGGCCCUGCCUACCCUGCUCUCGUUUCUCUCCUCCCAGUUCCAUUUGGAGGAAGAAACGGUGAACUCGUGGGGAUGAGCAAUCAGGCUUGAAUGAUUUAACGCCGGCAAAGCCCCGUGCUUCAUAAAAAAAGAAAAAGAAAGAAAGAAUAUAUUUUAAAGAAAAUUAUAUCAACAUCAUAAAAUGCAUAAAAAACUACAUUAGUGAGAUGACAGAGAGUGAAUAGUGAGUUGAUAAAAAACCUAAUAAUUAAGUCUUAAAAAUGUAUAAUAAAAACAAUGUAAACACUUAAAUACUAAAAAUAUAAUUAUUUUAUUUGUUUACCUGCAUGUCAAUGUGACCAUUAACUGACAUCAGAGAACUGUAUAUGUGUGAAUGUGGUGUUAAAUUAUUAGGAAUAUUAACGUCCUCAGAGAUAUUUCAAGGAAAGAUUUUAUUUUAAGGGAUUUGGCUAAAGGGGGCAGUCGGGUUUGAGUCUCAGGUCCGGCAGGAAUUGUCAGUGGAGGAAGUGAAUAACUAGCGCUCUCUCACCUUCAAUACCACAACUGAGGUGAGACCAAGGCCCCAAACCCCCAACUGCUCCCCGGGUGCUGCAGCAAUAUGGCGGCCCUCUGUGAUUGAUUUAUAAAUAGUUGGAUGGGUUAAAUACAGAGCACAAAUUCCGAGUAUGGGUCAAAAAAAAAAAGAAGUUCGAAAAGGCUGAGCGACAGUAUACUAUAAUUUAUUGUACCCUUUAAAUUCGCUUAUCGAAAGAACAGCUGCAGCAGCAGCAGCAUGGUGUAACAUAUAUUUAAAACACUUGCUACCUUAUAUCUUUACUCUUUCCUUUCAUUCUUUUCAUGGCUUUGGAAAACUUAUAACUCUGGGUCAUCGACACCAAGCUUUGUUGCAAUUUCUUU
ensembl:lncRNA